ACGUAUUGAGUUUGAACGAGUGUCUAAAAAGUCAGAUCUGUUCUCACAGUCAGAGACUUUCAGGAUCAUUUAAACCUUAAAUUUAAUCUCAUGUAGUCAGGAUUUAAACUCAGGUUCAGUUAUUUCAAUAAAACCAUCCUGAGACAUUUAGAGCAAUCAAAGCGUCGGAGUUGAAGAACACGGAAAUGUCUGCUGUGACUGCGUCGCUCUGCUCGACUUUGCUGUUUGUCGGCCUCUUCGUGUUUGUCUCUGCAGACCAGAAAAACAUCACAGCUGAGUGUGGACAG